rnacentral:rRNA from 1 species
UACAGAGGGGGCAAGCGUUGUUCGGAAUUACUGGGCGUAAAGGGCGCGUAGGCGGCCUCUUAAGUCGAACGUGAAAUCCUCGGGCUCAACCCGGGAACUGCGUCCGAUACUGGGAGGCUUGAAUCCGGGGAGAGGGAUGUGGAAUUCCAGGUGUAGCGGUGAAAUGCGUAGAUAUCUGGAGGAACACCGGUGGCGAAGGCGGCAUCCUGGACCGGUAUUGACGCUGAGGCGCGAAAGCCAGGGGAGCAAACGGG